rnacentral:lncRNA from 1 species
UGAAACUCAUUUAGCCUAAGUUUGACUGAAAUUGAUACAGCAGUUUCAAAGGAGAAGAUUUUUUAAAGUAAGUCAACAUGAUGAACAAAUUGUGAUCUUUAACUUUUUAUUAACCAAAGGAUUUGUUGGGUGUAAGUAAACACACUUUAAACCAAAGGAUUUGUUGAGUAUAAGUUAACACACUUUAAAGUUUAAACCAAAGGAUAUGUUCAGUAUAAGUUAAAACACUUUAAACAAAUAUCAAUUUCAGAUCUCAUUAAAGCACAACUGUGAUAUGAAUACUAACCUUAAGUAUGCAUAGAAAAUAUUUAGCUAUGUUUAGAUGAUUUGUUAGUAAUACUUCCUAGUCAAGAAGGGAAGAAAUUGAAAACCAUUUUUUUCAUUACAUCAUAUUUAAUACCAUUAGAUCAUACUUUAUGCAUUUAUUAAUGUGGUUUUAUUUUU